ACGUAGGGUGCGAGCGUUAAUCGGAAUUACUGGGCGUAAAGCGUGCGCAGGCGGCUUUGCAAGACAGAUGUGAAAUCCCCGGGCUUAACCUGGGAACUGCAUUUGUGACUGCAAGGCUAGAGUACGGCAGAGGGGGAUGGAAUUCCGCGUGUAGCAGUGAAAUGCGCAGAUAUCAGGAGGAACACCAAUGGCGAAGGCAGCUCGCUGGGACGGUACUGACGCUGAGGCGCGAAAGCGUGGGGAGCAAACAGGA
rnacentral:rRNA from 1 species